UGUGUAGGCGGCUUUUUAAGUUUGGUGUGAAAUCUCCCGGCUCAACCGGGAGGGUGCGCCGAAUACUGAGAGGCUAGAGUGCGGGAGAGGAAAGUGGAAUUCCUGGUGUAGCGGUGAAAUGCGUAGAUAUCAGGAGGAACACCGGUGGUGUAGACGGCUUUCUGGACCGUAACUGACGCUGAAACACGAAAGCGUGGGUAGCAAACAGGAUUAGAUACCCUGGUAGUCCACGCCCUAAACGAUGCAUAUUUGGUGUGGGUCAUUCAGUUGAUCCGUGCCGGAGCUAACGCGUUAAAUAUGCCGCCUGGGGAGUACAGUCGCAAGGCUGAA
rnacentral:rRNA from 1 species